GCCAAAUGAUGAAAUUAGAUGGCAUUAGCUCCCAGGGCAAAGAUGACCUUCAUCUAUCACCCCAUACUGAUGGCU